AAAUUGAAGAGUUUGAUCAUGGCUCAGAUUGAACGCUGGCGGCAGGCCUAACACAUGCAAGUCGAACGGUAACAGGAAGAAGCUUGCUUCUUUGCUGACGAGUGGCGGACGGGUGAGUAAUGUCUGGGAAACUGCCUGAUGGAGGGGGGAUAACUACUGGAAACGGUAGCUAAUACCGCAUAACGUCGCAAGACCAAAGAGGGGGACCUUCGGGCCUCUUGCCAUCGGAUGUGCCCAGAUGGGAUUAGCUAGUAGGUGGGGUAACGGCUCACCUAGGCGACGAUCCCUAGCUGGUCUGAGAGGAUGACCAGCCACACUGGAACUGAGACACGGUCCAGACUCCUACGGGAGGCAGCAGUGGGGAAUAUUGCACAAUGGGCGCAAGCCUGAUGCAGCCAUGCCGCGUGUAUGAAGAAGGCCUUCGGGUUGUAAAGUACUUUCAGCGGGGAGGAAGGGAGUAAAGUUAAUACCUUUGCUCAUUGACGUUACCCGCAGAAGAAGCACCGGCUAACUCCGUGCCAGCAGCCGCGGUAAUACGGAGGGUGCAAGCGUUAAUCGGAAUUACUGGGCGUAAAGCGCACGCAGGCGGUUUGUUAAGUCAGAUGUGAAAUCCCCGGGCUCAACCUGGGAACUGCAUCUGAUACUGGCAAGCUUGAGUCUCGUAGAGGGGGGUAGAAUUCCAGGUGUAGCGGUGAAAUGCGUAGAGAUCUGGAGGAAUACCGGUGGCGAAGGCAGCCCCCUGGACGAAGACUGACGCUCAGGUGCGAAAGCGUGGGGAGCAAACAGGAUUAGAUACCCUGGUAGUCCACGCCGUAAACGAUGUCGACUUGGAGGUUGUGCCCUUGAGGCGUGGCUUCCGGAGCUAACGCGUUAAGUCGACCGCCACCGGGGAGUACGGCCGCAAGGUUAAAACUCAAAUGAAUUGACGGGGGCCCGCACAAGCGGUGGAGCAUGUGGUUUAAUUCGAUGCAACGCGAAGAACCUUACCUGGUCUUGACAUCCACGGAAGUUUUCAGAGAUGAGAAUGUGCCUUCGGGAACCGUGAGACAGGUGCUGCAUGGCUGUCGUCAGCUCGUGUUGUGAAAUGUUGGGUUAAGUCCCGCAACGAGCGCAACCCUUAUCCUUUGUUGCCAGCGGUCCGGCCGGGAACUCAAAGGAGACUGCCAGUGAUAAACUGGAGGAAGGUGGGGAUGACGUCAAGUCAUCAUGGCCCUUACGACCAGGGCUACACACGUGCUACAAUGGCGCAUACAAAGAGAAGCGACCUCGCGAGAGCAAGCGGACCUCAUAAAGUGCGUCGUAGUCCGGAUUGGAGUCUGCAACUCGACUCCAUGAAGUCGGAAUCGCUAGUAAUCGUGGAUCAGAAUGCCACGGUGAAUACGUUCCCGGGCCUUGUACACACCGCCCGUCACACCAUGGGAGUGAGUUGCAAAAGAAGUAGGUAGCUUAACCUUCGGGAGGGCGCUUACCACUUUGUGAUUCAUGACUGGGGUGAAGUCGUAACAAGGUAACCGUAGGGGAACCUGCGGUUGGAUCACCUCCUUA
rnacentral:rRNA from 1 species